AACGAACGCUGGCGGCAUGCCUAACACAUGCGAGUCGAACGAGACCUUCGGGUCUAGUGGCGCACGGGUGCGUAACGCGUGGGAACCUGCCCUUAGGUUCGGAAUAACUCCCCGAAAGGGGUGCUAAUACCGGAUAAUGUCUUCGGACCAAAGAUUUAUCGCCUUUGGAUGGGCCCGCGUUGGAUUAGCUAGUUGAUAGGGUAAAAGCCUACCAAGGCGACGAUCCAUAGCUGGUCUGAGAGGAUGAUCAGCCACACUGGGACUGAGACACGGCCCAGACUCCUACGGGAGGCAGCAGUGGGGAAUAUUGGACAAUGGGCGAAAGCCUGAUCCAGCAAUGCCGCGUGAGUGAUGAAGGCCUUAGGGUUGUAAAGCUCUUUUACCCGGGAUGAUAAUGACAGUACCGGGAGAAUAAGCUCCGGCUAACUCCGUG
rnacentral:rRNA from 1 species